rnacentral:rRNA from 1 species
CCCUUAGAUGUUCUGGGCCGCACGCGCGCUACACUGACGAUGGCAACGAGUUUUUCCUUCGCCGAAAGGUGUGGGUAAUCUUUUGAAACAUCGUCGUGCUGGGGAUAGAUCAUUGCAAUUUUUGAUCUUGAACGAGGAAUUCCUAGUAAGCGCGAGUCAUCAGCUCGCGUUGAUUACGUCCCUGCCCUCUGUACACACCGCCCGUCGCUACUACCGAUUGAAUGGUUUAGUGAGGACUCCUGAUUGGCGCCGCCGCCCCGGCAACGGAGCAGCGGACUGCCGAAAAGUUGUUCAAACUUGAUCAUUUAGAGGAAGUAAAAGUCGUAACA